rnacentral:tRNA from 3 species
UGGGGGGUGGUGUAACCGGCAGCACAGCGGGUUUUGGUCCCGCCGGUAUGGGUUCAAGUCCUAUCCCCCCAGCCA